rnacentral:rRNA from 1 species
UACGUAGGGGGCAAGCGUUAUCCGGAUUUAUUGGGCGUAAAGAGCUCGUAGGCGGCCGUUCGCGUCGGAUGUGAAAGCUCAGGGCUCAACUCUGAGAUGCCAUUCGAUACGGGACGGCUAGAGGUAGGUAGGGGAGAGUGGAAUUCCUGGUGUAGCGGUGAAAUGCGCAGAUAUCAGGAGGAACACCGAUGGCGAAGGCAGGUCUCUGGGCCACUACUGACGCUGAGAAGCGAAAGCAUGGGGAGCGAACAGG